GGCUCAGGAUGAACGCUAGCUACAGGCUUAACACAUGCAAGUCGAGGGGAAACGAUAGAGAAAGCUUGCUUUUUUCUAGGCGUCGACCGGCGCACGGGUGAGUAACGCGUAUCCAACCUGCCCAUCACUUGGGGAUAACCUUGCGAAAGUAAGACUAAUACCCAAUGAUAUCUCUAGAAGACAUCUGAAAGAGAUUAAAGAUUUAUCGGUGAUGGAUGGGGAUGCGUCUGAUUAGCUUGUUGGCGGGGUAACGGCCCACCAAGGCGACGAUCAGUAGGGGUUCUGAGAGGAAGGUCCCCCACAUUGGAACUGAGACACGGUCCAAACUCCUACGGGAGGCAGCAGUGAGGAAUAUUGGUCAAUGGACGAGAGUCUGAACCAGCCAAGUAGCGUGCAGGAUGACGGCCCUAUGGGUUGUAAACUGCUUUUAUAAGGGAAUAAAGUGGGAGUCGUGACUCUUUUGCAUGUACCUUAUGAAUAAGGACCGGCUAAUUCCGUG
rnacentral:rRNA from 1 species